UGUGCCGGGCAGCGCGGUGCCCCCCGCCGCCAUCUUUGAGUGGGGCGCUCCCGGCCGCCUCCCAUUCAUCGAGCGGGAGGAAAGACGUGUGAGCUGCUGAUCCCCUUAGCAAACAUGACGGCAGAAGAACGUUUGGAGUAUGCUCAUCGCCCUCUGGGUUUGACAAACAUUGUGCGGCAACAAAUGGAAAUAGAAACAAACAAAAAAAACACAAUCACGCGGUGUUGUUCCAACUCAUCAGAAAGCAUUACGGAGAAAUGUCGCUAUGUGCAGAACAUCAGUGAAGUGCCGUACCACAUGCACUACUUCAGGCACAGCAGUGUGAGCGCUUGUAGCAGUGACCGAAUAAAGACACCCCGUGCGGGCAGGAGGUGCGGCAGCACUGCGGCCAUUGGCAGUGCUGGGAGCAGGGCUGAGGGCACAGGUGCAGCAGGAGAUGUUCAGAAUUCAAUACCGUGCAAUGGUAAAAAGACAACAGUGAAGAAGCCAGCGCAGCCGAGUUCUGGUGCAGUCAGUGUCCAUCAGGGCCCUCCUGAUCCCGAGUGUGGAAUUACUGCUUUGCUGCACUGCGGGGUUGUUCUGAAAAUGCACUGAUGAAACUCUGAAAUAGGAGAGACAACAAGAAAAAGAAACCCAACUUGCUCAGAGAAGAACUGUUCCUAACAGUGACGGGAAAACAAGUACACCAAAAUAUUAAAAGAUGUUCCAAAUCUCUCCAGUGAAGACCUUUGAGGAAAUAAGUUUCAAAUGCCAGAACAAGCAUGAAUUCCUGAUCAAGUCCUACAUUUGUUAAACAGAAAUAGGCCCAAGAACAGUGGUGCCCCUCCUCGUGCAAGGCUUGGCAUCUGGGGAGGUAACAGCAGUGCAGAAUGGAUGUACAGAUCCCAAAAAUGUAUCUUGACAUCCUAACUCCUGGUUGUUCUUGAACUUACUUAAUUAUCAAUGAGCCACUAAGAAUGCAGGGAAGGUAUUUACAGAAUUGUAUUUGGAGAUGGACUUACAGUGAAAGUGGGGAGAACAGUGACAAAGACAUACUAACAGUUACUGGGAAGUAAAUUGUGAAAGCCUUCAAAACAAAAACAAAGCAAAACAAAGCAAAACAAAAAAAAGCCACCUGAAAAAGAGUAGAGAGACUAAAAUGAUAACUCAAGUAAUAAUUGCUCCUCAGCUAGAAAUGAUCGUCUGGAAAGAAGAGAAGAUUUUACAACGUAAAUCCAUCAGUGUCAGAGUAAGAGAAACUGACAGACCUCAAGGCUACUGAUUGCAGGGUGGCUGUCUGAGAAACAAAGCAAGCUCCUGUAUUUACUGUAUUUCCAUUUUCUCCCUCUGCAGAAAGGAAGUGAAAGCCGUUCACAUAUCUGCCCUACCUACAUUACUGCUUGAAUGAAUGAAAAGCAAAGCAGCACUGACAAAAACAGCAAUAUUAAACUGUUCUUCUUUAACA